rnacentral:rRNA from 1 species
AUGCACGCUGGCGGCGUGCCUAAUACAUGCCCGUCGAGCGAACAGACGAGGAGCUUGCUCCUCUGACGUUAGCGGCGGACGGGUGAGUAACACGUGGAUAACCUACCUAUAAGACUGGGAUAACUUCGGGAAACCGGAGCUAAUACCGGAUAAUAUAUUGAACCGCAUGGUUCAAUAGUGAAAGACGGUUUUGCUGUCACUUAUAGAUGGAUCCGCGCCGCAUUAGCUAGUUGGUAAGGUAACGGCUUACCAAGGCAACGAUGCGUAGCCGACCUGAGAGGGUGAUCGGCCACACUGGAACUGAGACACGGUCCAGACUCCUACGGGAGGCAGCAGUAGGGAAUCUUCCGCAAUGGGCGAAAGCUUGACGGAGCAACGCCGCGUGAGUGAUGAAGGUCUUCGGAUCGUAAAACUCUGUUAUUAGGGAAGAACAAAUGUGUAAGUAACUAUGCACGUCUUGACGGUACCUAAUCAGAAAGCCACGGCUAACUACGUG